rnacentral:rRNA from 1 species
UAAUACGUAGGGUGCGAGCGUUAAUCGGAAUUACUGGGCGUAAAGUGUGCGCAGGCGGCCGAGCAAGUCGAGUGUGAAAGCCCCGAGCUUAACUUGGGAACUGCGCUCGAAACUACUUGGCUGGAGUGUGGCAGAGGAAGGUGGAAUUCCACGUGUAGCGGUGAAAUGCGUAGAGAUGUGGAGGAACACCGAUGGCGAAGGCAGCCUUCUGGGCCAACACUGACGCUCAUGCACGAAAGCGUGGGGAGCAAACAGGA